AAUAGGUCCAACCACCAGCCAUCAGUCACUCCAUCAGAAGAAGAGGAGAGGGUUGCCAUGUUUGAUGGUGGUGGUUGUGGCUUCUAGGGUUUGUAUCGAUGAGGAGAAGAGAGGAGAAGUGGUGGUGGUGGACUAGAGGUCGCAGUGACGACUCAUAAUGUCCAUUGCGACGGUGAGAGAGGAGAUCGAAGUGGUGGUUGGCUUGCUUUGCUUGGAAGGAUAGGGUGUGGCCUGGUGGGGUUGGCGGCUAAGGUUAGUGGGAGGUUGAAGGCUGAGAUAAUGAGAGUAUUUAACUAUUUAUAAGGUAGGUUGGACUGCAUCUAAUGUGCUGGUCUGGAGCAUUUUUUUAAUAAGAACUGGUUCGGUUGGGUUAGAGUUCAAACCAGAAGGGACUACCACAAACCAUAAAAAAUGGUUCUCUUCACCCGUCAGAUCCAUUUUCUGGUCGGACAAGCCCGAUUUCACAAAAAUGAACUCGGUUUUUUCAGGUCCGGUUGGGACCAAUUUAGCUCGGAACUCAUGACACCAAUAAGUCUCUCAUGUGCUGCUAAUCCUGCUAUAUAUAACUUUUUUUUUGUCAAUUUAUCCCGGCAAUUUAUUUGGUAUAUAGUUGACUUUUACGAUUGAAGAGUGAGUGGAUUCAAAUGUUCUUUGAUAAAGUUUCAAACUUUCAACACGCCCCUACGUUGAUCCAUGAGAUUGUAUAUAAUCAUAUUCACAUUAAUAGCAGUCAAACUGACUUUGUCGUUUACACGGAAGCAGCAUGUUUGGACUAAAAAUUAGCAUUUCAAUUUUGAGUAUUUUGUGAACUGUAAGAUAGUCAUGGCUGGUAAGAGGUUCUCGCUUGUUUGGGUGGUUCUCUUCCUUUGUGUGUUGAGCUUUUCUGUCAACACAAAUAUAGCAUUUGCAAGGAACAUUGAUGGUGCUGCUUCUCAAAUUUAUUCAGCUUCACAAGAAAUGGGUUUGGGUUCGAGUAGGAGGCUCCUGCAGCGAUCUGAAUGUAGUAGGGGGUUCUGGGGUCCAGGUCAUCCUGGUCAGGAAUCGCCCAAUAAUCCACGUUGCCACAAUUAUUUGUGAUCUGGUGUUGUCUGCUGCAAUAUAAUUGUAAGGAUGAAGUUCAGAAAAUGUAAAAAGAAAAGAGAAUAAGCUGUUUAUAGGUUUAUAUAGUUUAAGCACCUUAAUUGUGUUAAAAGAGUUUCUCUAAUUAUUCAUGAAUAUUAUCUUUGGAUGACCCGAAUA